rnacentral:rRNA from 1 species
AUUGAACGCUGGCGGCAUGCCUUACACAUGCAAGUCGAACGGCAGCACGGACUUCGGUCUGGUGGCGAGUGGCGAACGGGUGAGUAAUAUAUCGGAACGUGCCCUGGAGUGGGGGAUAACUAGUCGAAAGACUAGCUAAUACCGCAUACGAUCUACGGAUGAAAGUGGGGGAUCGCAAGACCUCAUGCUCGUGGAGCGGCCGAUACCUGAUUAGCUAGUUGGUGGGGUAAAAGCCUACCAAGGCAUCGAUCAGUAGCUGGUCUGAGAGGACGACCAGCCACACUGGGACUGAGACACGGCCCAGACUCCUACGGGAGGCAGCAGUGGGGAAUUUUGGACAAUGGGGGCAACCCUGAUCCAGCAAUGCCGCGUGAGUGAAGAAGGCCUUCGGGUUGUAAAGCUCUUUUGUCAGGGAAGAAACGGUCCGGGCUAAUAUCCCGGGCUAAUGACGGUACCUGAAGAAUAAGCACCGGCUAACUACGUGCCAGCAGCCGCCGUAAGAC